rnacentral:rRNA from 1 species
CAUGUCUUUUUGUUUAUGAUUUAAGGUCUGACCUGCCCAAUGAUUGUUUUAAAUGGCUGCAGUAUCCUGACUGUACAAAGGUAGCAUAAUCAUUAGUUUCUUAAUUAGAAGCUGGAAUGAAGGGUUUGAUGAGAAAUUUACUGUCUCAGUUUAAUUGUUUUAGAAUUUUAUUUUUAAGUGAAAAAGCUUAAAUUUUUUAAGAAGACGAGAAGACCCUAUAGAGUUUUAUAAAUUUUUAAUUUUUUAUUUUUUGUUUUUAUUAUUUUUAAUUAUUUGAUUUAUUUUGUUGGGGUGACACGAAAAUUUUUCUAACUUUUCUUGAUUUUAACACUAAUUAGUGAUUUAAUGAUCCUGUCUGGAUUAUAAGAAUAAAUUACCUUAGGGAUAACAGCGUGAUUUUUUUUGAAAGUUCUUAUUGAUAAAAAAGUUUGCGACCUCGAUGUUGGAUUAAAGUUUAUUUUUGGUGUAGAAGCUAGAAAAUUUGGGUCUGUUCGAC